GCUGGGUAUGGUGGCACAUGCCUGUAAUCCUGACUCCUUGGGAGACCGAGGCUGGAGGAUUGCAAGUUUGUGGCCAGUAUGGCCAACUUAGCGAGACCCUGUCUCAA
rnacentral:sRNA from 1 species